CGGUCACGUUCGUUGCCUAGAAAGUCGUGCCUGCGCGAUAUGUGCCCGUAGACAACAAAGGCAGAAGGAUCGACAAUUUUUAUCUGAAACGCAAUUAAGCAAACCGAUCACUCCUCGAACUAAGAACGGCCAUUCCCCCCCUAUUACACCAUCAUGAGAGGACUAGCCUAAUUUAUCGCCUGUAAAUCCUCAGUCGGUCCGGACCCGGGAAGUUUUCCCGCGGUGAACCUAAUUAAGCCACAUGCUCCACGCGUUCUUGUGGGGCCCUU
rnacentral:rRNA from 1 species